rnacentral:rRNA from 1 species
UUGGCCGGGCGACGGUUGUCCCGGUUUAAGCGUGUAGGCUGGUUUUCCAGGCAAAUCCGGAAAAUCAAGGCUGAGGCGUGAUGACGAGGCACUACGGUGCUGAAGCGACAAAUGCCCUGCUUCCAGGAAAAGCCUCUAAGCAUCAGGUAACAUCAAAUCGUACCCCAAACCGACACAGGUGGUCAGGUAGAGAAUACCAAGGCGCUUGAGAGAACUCGGGUGAAGGAACUAGGCAAAAUGGUGCCGUAACUUCGGGAGAAGGCACGCUGAUAUGUAGGUGAAGCGACUUGCUCGUGGAGCUGAAAUCAGUCGAAGAUACCAGCUGGCUGCAACUGUUUAUUAAAAACACAGCACUGUGCAAACACGAAAGUGGACGUAUACGGUGUGACGCCUGCCCGGUGCCGGAAGGUUAAUUGAUGGGGUUAGCGGUAACGCGAAGCUCUUGAUCGAAGCCCCGGUAAACGGCGGCCGUAACUAUAACGGUCCUAAGGUAGCGAAAUUCCUUGUCGGGUAAGUUCCGACCUGCACGAAUGGCGUAAUGAUGGCCAGGCUGUCUCCACCCGAGACUCAGUGAAAUUGAACUCGCUGUGAAGAUGCAGUGUACCCGCGGCAAGACGGAAAGACCCCGUGAACCUUUACUAUAGCUUGACACUGAACAUUGAGCCUUGAUGUGUAGGAUAGGUGGGAGGCUUUGAAGUGUGGACGCCAGUCUGCAUGGAGCCGACCUUGAAAUACCACCCUUUAAUGUUUGAUGUUCUAACGUGGGCCCCUUACCGGGGUUGCGGACAGUGUCUGGUGGGUAGUUUGACUGGGGCGGUCUCCUCCUAAAGAGUAACGGAGGAGCACGAAGGUUGGCUAAUCCUGGUCGGACAUCAGGAGGUUAGUGCAAUGGCAUAAGCCAGCUUGACUGCGAGCGUGACGGCGCGAGCAGGUGCGAAAGCAGGUCAUAGUGAUCCGGUGGUUCUGAAUGGAAGGGCCAUCGCUCAACGGAUAAAAGGUACUCCGGGGAUAACAGGCUGAUACCGCCCAAGAGUUCAUAUCGACGGCGGUGUUUGGCACCUCGAUGUCGGCUCAUCACAUCCUGGGGCUGAAGUAGGUCCCAAGGGUAUGGCUGUUCGCCAUUUAAAGUGGUACGCGAGCUGGGUUUAGAACGUCGUGAGACAGUUCGGUCCCUAUCUGCCGUGGGCGCUGGAGAACUGAGGGGGGCUGCUCCUAGUACGAGAGGACCGGAGUGGACGCAUCACUGGUGUUCGGGUUGUCAUGCCAAUGGCACUGCCCGGUAGCUAAAUGCGGAAGAGAUAAGUGCUGAAAGCAUCUAAGCACGAAACUUGCCCCGAGAUGAGUUCUCCCUGACUCCUUGAGAGUCCUGAAGGAACGUUGAAGACGACGACGUUGAUAGGCCGGGUGUGUAAGCGCAGCGAUGCGUUGAGCUAACCGGUACUAAUGAACCGUGAGGCUUAACCUU